UACAGAGGUCUCAAGCGUUGUUCGGAUUCAUUGGGCGUAAAGGGUGCGUAGGUGGCGCCGUAAGUCGGGUGUGAAAUUUCGGAGCUUAACUCCGAAACUGCAUUCGAUACUGCGGUGCUUGAGGACUGGAGAGGAGACUGGAAUUCAUGGUGUAGCAGUGAAAUGCGUAGAGAUCAUGAGGAAGACCAGUGGCGAAGGCGGGUCUCGGGACAGUUCCUGACACUGAGGCACGAAGGCCAGGGGAGCAAACGGG
rnacentral:rRNA from 1 species